rnacentral:rRNA from 1 species
AGUGAACGCUGGCGGUAGGCCUAACACAUGCAAGUCGAACGGCAGCACAGUAAGAGCUUGCUCUUACGGGUGGCGAGUGGCGGACGGGUGAGGAAUACAUCGGAAUCUCCUUUUUCGUGGGGGAUAACGUAGGGAAACUUACGCUAAUACCGCAUACGACCUACGGGUGAAAGCAGGGGAUCUUCGGACCUUGCGCGAUUGAAUGAGCCGAUGUCGGAUUAGCUAGUUGGCGGGGUAAAGGCCCACCAAGGCGACGAUCCGUAGCUGGUCUGAGAGGAUGAUCAGCCACACUGGAACUGAGACACGGUCCAGACUCCUACGGGAGGCAGCAGUGGGGAAUAUUGGACAAUGGGCGCAAGCCUGAUCCAGCCAUACCGCGUGGGUGAAGAAGGCCUUCGGGUUGUAAAGCCCUUUUGUUGGGAAAGAAAAGCAGCAGGUGAAUACCCCGCUGUUCUGACGGUACCCAAAGAAUAAGCACCGGCUAACUUCGUG